rnacentral:rRNA from 1 species
GAUGAACGCUGGCGGCGUGCCUAAUACAUGCAAGUCGAGCGAACAGACGAGGAGCUUGCUCCUCUGACGUUAGCGGCGGACGGGUGAGUAACACGUGGAUAACCUACCUAUAAGACUGGGAUAACUUCGGGAAACCGGAGCUAAUACCGGAUAAUAUAUUGAACCGCAUGGUUCAAUAGUGAAAGACGGUUUUGCUGUCACUUAUAGAUGGAUCCGCGCCGCAUUAGCUAGUUGGUAAGGUAACGGCUUACCAAGGCAACGAUGCGUAGCCGACCUGGGAGGGUGAUCGGCCACACUGGAACUGAGACACGGUCCAGACUCCUACGGGAGGCAGCAGUAGGGAAUCUUCCGCAAUGGGCGAAAGCUUGACGGAGCAACGCCGCGUGAGUGAUGAAGGUCUUCGGAUCGUUAAACUCUGUUAUUAGGGAAGAACAAAUGUGUAAGUAACUAUGCACGUCUUGACGGUACCUAAUCAGAAAGCCACGGCUAACUACGUG